GAUGAACGCUGGCGGCGUGCCUAAUACAUGCAAGUCGAACGCACCGAGAAGGGGACUGGUUCCUUUCAACUAGCGGGGCGAGGGGGAGAGAAACACGUGGGACACAUAUCCUUGAGCGGGGGAUCAUCGUCGGACACGAUGACUAAUCCCGCAAAGUUGUGACAGUCGCAGGACAGGAGUGAGAAAGGGGGCUGCGGCUACCAAUGGAGGAAGGCGCCGCGCUGCAUUAGCUAGACGGUGGGGUAACGGCCUACCGUGGCGAUGAUGCAUAGCCGACCUGAGAGGGUGAUCGGCCACAUUGGAACUGAGACACGGCCCAGACUCCUACGGGAGGCAGCAGUAGGGAAUCUUCCGCAAUGGACGCAAGCCUGACGGAGCAACGCCGCGUGUGUGAAGAAGGUCUUCGGAUCGUAAAGCUCUGUUAUCAGGGAAGAAUAGCUGUGUAAGUAACUGUGCUCAGUUUGACGGUACCUGAUCAGAAAGCCACGGCUAACUACGUG
rnacentral:rRNA from 1 species